rnacentral:rRNA from 1 species
GACGAACGCUGGCGGCGUGCUUAACACAUGCAAGUCGAACGGUGAAGCGCCUUCCUUUUUGGUGGGUGUGGAUGAGUGGCGAACGGGUGAGUAACACGUGAGUAACCUGCCCCCUUCUUCUGGAUAACCGCAUGAAAGUGUGGCUAAUACGGGAUAUUCUGGGUCUGUCGCAUGAUGGGUCUGGGAAAGAUAUUGUUUCGGUGGGGGAUGGGCUCGCGGCCUAUCAGCUUGUUGGUGGGGUGAUGGCCUACCAAGGCGGUGACGGGUAGCCGGCCUGAGAGGGUGGACGGUCACAAUGGGAAUGAGACACGGGCCAGACUCCUACGGGAGGCAGCAGGGGGGAAUAUUGCACAAUGGGCGCAAGCCUGAUGCAGCGACGCCGCGUGAAGGAUGGAGGCCUUCGGGUUGUGAACCUCUUUCGCCAGUGAAGCAGGCCUGCCUCGUUUGUGGGUGGGUUGACGGUAGCUGGAUAAGAAGCGCCGGCUAACUACGUG